rnacentral:rRNA from 1 species
GGAGGCAACUCUGAUCCAGCCAUGCCGCGUGCAGGAAGACUGCCCUAUGGGUUGUAAACUGCUUUUAUAUAGGAAGAAACCUUGGUACGUGUACCAAGCUGACGGUACUAUAAGAAUAAGGAUCGGCUAACUCCGUGCCAGCAGCCGCGGUAAUACGGAGGAUCCAAGCGUUAUCCGGAAUCAUUGGGUUUAAAGGGUCCGUAGGUGGAUAAUUAAGUCAGAGGUGAAAUCUUGCAGCUCAACUGUAAAAUUGCCUUUGAUACUGGUUAUCUUGAGUUAUUAUGAAGUAGUUAGAAUAUGUAGUGUAGCGGUGAAAUGCAUAGAUAUUACAUAGAAUACCAAUUGCGAAGGCAGAUUACUAAUAAUCAACUGACACUGAUGGACGAAAGCGUGGGUAGCGAACAGGAUUAGAUACCCUGGUAGUCCACGCCGUAAACGAUGGUUACUAGCUGUUUGGACCUUGUGUCUGAGUGGCUAAGCGAAAGUGAUAAGUAACCCACCUGGGGAGUACGUUCGCAAGAAUGAAACUCAAAGGAAUUGACGGGGGCCCGCACAAGCGGUGGAGCAUGUGGUUUAAUUCGAUGAUACGCGAGGAACCUUACCAGGGCUUAAAUGUAAGUUGCAUUAGUUAGAGAUAGCUAUUUCUUCGGACCACUUACAAGGUGCUGCAUGGUUGUCGUCAGCUCGUGCCGUGAGGUGUCAGGUUAAGUCCUAUAACGAGCGCAACCCCUGUUGUUAGUUGCCAGCGAGUCAUGUCGGGAACUCUAACAAGACUGCCAGUGCAAACUGUGAGGAAGGUGGGGAUGACGUCAAAUCAUCACGGCCCUUACGUCCUGGGCUACACACGUGCUACAAUGGUCGGUACAGAGAGCAGCCACUACGCGAGUAGGAGCGAAUCUUAAAAGCCGAUCACAGUUCGGAUCGGAGUCUGCAACUCGACUCCGUGAAGCUGGAAUCGCUAGUAAUCGGAUAUCAGCCAUGAUCCGGUGAAUACGUUCCCGGGCCUUGUACACACCGCCCGUCAAGCCAUGGAAGUUGGGAGUGCCUGAAGUCCGUUACCGUAAGGAGCGGCCUAGGGUAAAAUCGAUAACUAGGGCUAAGUCGUAACAAGGUAGCCGUACCGGAAGGUGCGGCUGGAACACCUCCUUUCU